GACGAACGCUGGCGGCGUGCUUAACACAUGCAAGUCGAACGGAAAGGCCCUGCUUUUGUGGGGUGCUCGAGUGGCGAACGGGUGAGUAACACGUGAGUAACCUGCCCUUGACUUUGGGAUAACUUCAGGAAACUGGGGCUAAUACCGGAUAGGAGCUCCUGCUGCAUGGUGGGGGUUGGAAAGUUUCGGCGGUUGGGGAUGGACUCGCGGCUUAUCAGCUUGUUGGUGGGGUAGUGGCUUACCAAGGCUUUGACGGGUAGCCGGCCUGAGAGGGUGACCGGCCACAUUGGGACGGAGAUACGGCCCGGACUCCUACGGGAGGCAGCAGUGGGGAAUAUUGCACAAUGGGCGGAAGCCUGAUGCAGCAACGCCGCGUGCGGGAUGACGGCCUUCGGGUUGUAAACCGCUUUCGCCUGUGACGAAGCGUGAGUGACGGUAAUGGGUAAAGAAGCACCGGCUAACUACGU
rnacentral:rRNA from 1 species